rnacentral:rRNA from 1 species
GUCUACGGCCACACCUAGGCGAAAACACCAGUUCCCGUCCGAUCACUGAAGUUAAGCGUCUGAGGGCCUCGUUAGUACUAUGGUUGGAGACAACAUGGGAAUCCGGGGUGCUGUAGGCUUUU